rnacentral:rRNA from 1 species
AUGAAGACCUGUAUGAAUGGCAUAACGAGGGCUUAACUGUCUCCUUUUUCCAGUCAAUGAAAUUGAUCUCCCCGUGCAGAAGCGGGGAUAACCCCAUAAGACGAGAAGACCCUAUGGAGCUUUAGACAAUAUGAUGGACCAUGUUAACAAACCUUACUUAACAAGAAUAAACCAAUUGGAACCCACCUUAAUGUC